rnacentral:rRNA from 1 species
GAUUAUGGCUCAGGAUGAACGCUAGCGACAGGCCUAACACAUGCAAGUCGAGGGGCAGCACAAGGAGCAAUCUGAGGUGGCGACCGGCGCACGGGUGAGUAACACGUAUGCAACCUGCCUGUAAGCGGGGAAUAACCCGUUGAAAGACGGACUAAUACCGCAUAAUACUAAAUUACUGCAUGGUAAUUUAUUUAAACAUUUAUGGCUUACAGAUGGGCAUGCGCAUGAUUAGCUAGUUGGAGAGGUAACGGCUCCCCAAGGCAACGAUCAUUAGGGGUUCUGAGAGGAAGGUCCCCCACACUGGUACUGAGACACGGACCAGACUCCUACGGGAGGCAGCAGUGAGGAAUAUUGGUCAAUGGACGAGAGUCUGAACCAGCCCAAGUCGCGUGCAGGAAGAAUGUCCUAUGGAUUGUAAACUUCUUUUGAAGGGGAAUAAAGUACGGUACGUGUACCGUUUUGUAUGUACCCUUCGAAUAGGGAUCGGCUAACUCCGUGCCAGCCGCCGC